rnacentral:tRNA from 1 species
GGGGUCGUGGCGUAAUCGGCAGCGCUCCAGACUUUUAAUCUGCGAAGGUCUCGGUUCGAAUCCGAGCGACCCCA